rnacentral:rRNA from 1 species
ACGGAAGGCAGCAGUGGGGAAUAUUGGGCAAUGGGCGCAAGCCUGACCCAGCAAUGCCGCGUGAAGGAAGAAGGCUUUCGGGUUGUAAACUUCUUUUAAGUGGGACGACGAUGACGGUACCACUUGAAUAAGCUCCGGCUAACUACGUGCCAGCAGCCGCGGUAAUACGUAGGGAGCAAGCGUUAUCCGGAUUUACUGGGUGUAAAGGGCGUGUAGGCGGGACAUCAAGUCAGAUGUGAAAGCACGAGGCUCAACUUCGUGUCUGCAUUUGAAACUGACGUUCUUGAGUGUUGGAGAGGCUAACGGAACUCCUAGUGUAGCGGUGAAAUGCGUAGAUAUUAGGAAGAACACCAGUGGCGAAGGCGGUUAGCUGAACAAUAACUGACGCUGAGGCGCGAAAGCGUGGGUAGCAAACAGGAUUAGAUACCCUGGUA